AUUCUCAUACCUAAAGGAAGCUAUACAAGGUUGUCAUCUACUAAGGAUAAACUAACGUAUUUAUUAAGGUGCUAAGGAGGCGUUGUGUGGAUUCAUUUGUAAAGGAAUAGAAUGAAAGAAACUGGGCUGUUUAUAGAAGGUUUAUCAAGGUGGUGUUUGAAGUCAUUUGUAAAGGAAUAUAUUGAAAAGAAUUGAGUUGUUUGAGGUUAUUUUGCAAGUUCUUUUGUAUUCAUUUGUAAAGGAAUAAGAUGAAGGAAACUUAAGCUGUCUGUAGAGGCCUUACUGAGGUGGUGUUUGAACUCAUUUAUAAAGGAAUAUUUUGAAGCAAACUAAAGUAUUAAUAGAGGUGCUUACAAAGGUGUUCUCUAUUCAUUUAUAAAGGAAUAUAAUGAAGGAAAACUAAGCUAUUUAUAGUGUGGAUUCAUUUGUAAAGGAAUCUAAUGAAGAAAAUUAAGGUAUUAUAAGAGGUGCUUUAUGCAAGAGUUGUGGACUCAUUUGUAAAGGAAUAUAUUGAAGGGAAACUAAGAUAUCUAUAGUAAUUGAUUCAUUUGUAAAGGAGUAUUAUAAAGAAAACAGGUAUUUAUAGUAUCGAUUCAUUUGUAAAGGAGUAUUUUAAAGAAAACUGAGAUAUAUAUUGUGUUGAUUCAUUUGUAAAGGAUUAAGAUGGAGAACACUUUGCAAUUUACGUGUGUGCUUUAUCAAGGUGCUGUAUAUUCAUUUGUAAAGGAAUAUAAUGAAGGAAAACUUAACUAAAUAUUGUGUUGAGUCAUUUGUAAAGGAAUAUGAUGAUAAAAACUAGCUUGUCUACAUAUGUGCUUUACCGAGGUGCUGUAUAUUCAUUUGUAAAGGAAUGUAAUGAAGGGAAACUUAACUAAAUAUUGUGUUGAUUCAUUUGUAAAGGAAUAUAGUGAAGAAAACUAAGGUAUUAAGAAGAGGUGUUUUAUCAAGUUAUGUAUUCAUUUGUAAAGGAAUAUAAUGAGGGAAACUGAGGUAUAUAUAGUGUUGAUUCAUUUGUAAAGGAGUAUUAUAAAGAAAACUUAACUAUAUAUUGUGUUGAUUCAUUUGUAAAGGAAUAUAUUGAACGGAAACUGAGGUAUAUAUAGUGUUGAUUCAUUUGUAAAGGAGUAUUAUAAAGAAAACUGAGGUAUAUAUAGUGUUGAUUCAUUUAUAAAGGAGUAUUAUAAAGAAAACUGAGGUAUAUAUUGUGUUGAUUCAUUUGUAAAGGAAUAUAAUGAACGGAAACUGAGGUAUUUACAGUAUGGAUUCAUUUGUAAAGGAGUAUUAUAAAGAAAACUGAGGUAUAUAUUGUGUUGAUUCAUUUGUAAAGGAAUAUAAUGAACGGAAACUGAGGUAUUUACAGUAUGGAUUCAUUUAUAAAGGAGUAUUAUAAAGAAAACUGAGGUAUAUAUUGUGUUGAUUCAUUUGUAAAGGAAUAUAUUGAACGGAAACUGAGGUAUUUACAGUAUGGAUUCAUUUGUAAAGGAGUAUUAUAAAGAAAACAGAUAUAUAUUAUUGCGUUGAUUCAUUUGUAAAGGAGUAAGAUGAAAACUUUGCCAUUUACGUGUGUGCUUUACCGAGGUGCUGUAUAUUCAUUUGUAAAGGAAUAUAAUGAAGGAAACUUAACUAAAUAUUGUGUUGAUUCAUUUGUAAAGGAAUAGGAGAGUAUAUAUUCAUUUGUAAAGGAAUAUACUAAGAAAAUGAUUUGUAUGUUUGAAUAAGGCUUAUGUGUUGUGAUAUUUAUGAUGAUUGAAACUAAUUGACUCAUUUAUAAAGGAAGGAGGAGGAGGAGGAGGAGGAGGAGGAAGAAGAGAUUGUAAAAGGGAUUGUAUAGUGUGUGUGUGUGUGUGUGUGUGUGUGUGUGUGUGUGUGUGUGUGUGUGUGUGAUAAAAUGAAGUUAUUGUAUGUCUGAAAUUAGUGAAAGAAAUUGUUUUUUUUUUUUUAUAUAAAGGAAAAAAGAAAUGAAGAAAAGCGAUUUGUCAGAGGAAUUUAUUAUUAUUAUUAUUAUUAUUAUUAUUAUUAUUAUUAUUAUUAUUAUUAUUAUUAUUAUUAUUAUUUAGUGAGAACUGAACGAAAGGGGAAAUUUACUCAUAUGCAAAGGAAUGUGUGUGUGUGUGUGUGUGUGUGUGUGUGUGUGUGUGUGUGUGUGUGUGUGUGUGUGUGUGUGUGUGUGAUGACAUGGGUCUGAAAUUGUGUGUACUUGGAACUGCGAGGAAGAGGGAAAAGGAGGAGGAGGAGGAGGAGGAGGAGGAAGAGGAGGAGGAGGAGGAGGUUGGCACAGUGCCCUCCUCCUCCUCCUCCUUUCCCCUCCUCCUCCUCCCCAUCCUCCUCUUCCCCCUCCUCCUCCACUUCCCCCUCUUCCUCCUCCUCCACCUCUUCCCCCUCCACCUCUUCCCCCUCCUCCUCCUCCUCCUUUUCUAUUUUGGUCAAUCUUCUCUGCCCUCCGUGUGUGUGUGUGUGUGUGUGUGUGUGUGUUUUAAGGUUACACACACACACACACACACACACACACACACACACACACACACACACACACACACA